UACGGAGGGUGCAAGCGUUAUCCGGAUUCACUGGGUUUAAAGGGUGCGUAGGUGGGCAGGUAAGUCAGUGAUGAAAUCUCCGGGCUUAACCCGGAAACUGCCAUUGAUACUAUCUGUCUUGAAUACCCUGGAGGUGAGCGGAAUAUGUCAUGUAGCGGUGAAAUGCUUAGAUAUGACAUAGAACACCCAUUGCGAAGGCAGCUCACUACGGGAAUAUUGACACUGAGGCACGAAAGCGUGGGGAUCAAACAGG
rnacentral:rRNA from 1 species